rnacentral:rRNA from 1 species
CAGUAGCCGCGGUAAUACGAAGGGGGCUAGCGUUGCUCGGAAUUACUGGGCGUAAAGGGAGCGUAGGCGGAUCGUUAAGUUGGGGGUGAAAGCCCAGGGCUCAACCUCGGAAUUGCCUUCAAUACUGGCGAUCUUGAGUAUGGAAGAGGUAUGUGGAACUCCGAGUGUAGAGGUGAAAUUCGUAGAUAUUCGGAGGAACACCGAUGGCGAAGGCAAUCCCCUGGGCCUGCACUGACGCUCAUGCACGAAAGCGUGGGGAGCAAACAGGAUUAGAUACCCCCGUAGUCCCUGUCUCUUAUAC